rnacentral:rRNA from 1 species
UACGUAGGAGGCGAGCGUUGUCCGGAUUUACUGGGCGUAAAGCGCGCGCAGGCGGCACACUAAGUACGAUGUGAAAUCUCCCUGCUCAACGGGGAGGGUGCAUAGUAAACUGGUGAGCUAGAGGACGGUAGAGGGGGGUGGAAUUGCUGGUGUAGCGGUGAAAAUGCGUAGAGAUCAGCAGGAACACCCGUGGCGAAGGCGGCCCCCUGGGCCGAACCUGACGCUGAGGCGCGAAGGCUAGGGGGAGCGAACGGGG